rnacentral:misc_RNA from 1 species
AGCGCCUGAACAAAAGUAAGCGUCAUAAGUCGUCCGGCAUUUACACGCUGAGGCUAAAUAAAGCGCACAAUUGGUAGAUGUGGACUCGAUACCACGAGGAAACGUACAGAUCCUGGUUCGACGAAGGGAGUAAACAUCGGUUAGCGAGAACGAUCUAUAAGGGCGAUGCACCUGCCAGCAACUCACAACAAAAAGUGACAUCACGGCAGUGGCGUCUCGGGAUUGGUCAGUGGUGACUCGAUCAGCCGGGAAGUAGCGAUACGACUGCAAAGUACAAGCUGAGCUCGCUCGACAGUCGGACUCAGACGUCAACAGCCUCAGCCGGUGAAAGACAGCAGCCGCUCGGCAGCCGCUGAAGGGGGUCGUGGAUUACCGUCCAAUAUCAGCAAAGGCACCCCGCCUGCGAAUUUUGUAAGCCAUCAGUAUAACGCCAACCGACAAGGGAACCACUGAAGAACCUCGCCAACGGGGAAAUUCAAUCGAUGGAGACAAGUCCUCGAGCCGCUGAGUGAUUGGACACCACAUCGUGGAGAUCUACACAUGUUGCUGCCUUGCAGGGAUUUUACCGUUUUUGAAGCCUGCUCUUUGGCCUUGACGACGCAACACUUUUAAAAGCACCGAGAAACAGUGCCGAUAUUCGUCCAGCGAUCCCACUCUGUCAAAGGCCUACGAGUGCGUGCAUUUCUUGGUGGGCUAUCUCAUAC